GGGACGCUCUGCAUAGCAAAAUGUUCAAAUACCACGUUGAAUAUUAUUCUAAGGAGGAUAUUCCAACUUAUACGCAGCUGGUGAAGAUUAUGGAGUCCGAUGCUCAACCCAGACUAAGUAGACGGGUAACAUCGGGAAUUUGCGACGCAAUCAUAAACAAGGCAAUCUUUCACAUCUACAAUUUGAAUUCUAAGCGAGAAGUGUCCAUUUUUGAAGCUGAGUAAAUGUUCAUUUUGAAAUGUCUGCGAUGUCAAGGGUUUUUAGUUGAGGAUUUUAUUGAUUUAUAAGCCUUAUUACAGUUCAACAAUUUACAGUGUUAAUAUAAGCAUAUAUUAUGGUCCAUCUAUAAUUUUGCCUUCAACAUAUUAUUGUAAAAAAGGCAUUUAUUUUCUCAAAAUUGAUUCCUUCAGAAUUCACUUUGAUGUCAGUUCAAACACUAUCACAGCUUCGGAAACAAAUGGCGCUCUGAGAGAGAAGAAACGGCGCAGGAAAUAUUUCCCAGCAUUCCUUUUUGCGCUCUUUUUAAUAAAAUAAAAUAUACAAUAUUGUACUGUCA